GACGAACGCUGGCGGCGUGCUUAACACAUGCAAGUCGAGCGGAAAGGCCCUUCGGUUGAUUCUAGCACGUUAGGGGCGAGUAAGAGGUUAACAAGCUGACCCCGACCUUGUGAUAACGCUAGCAAACGGGGACUAAUGCCGUAAACGCCACUGAUUUGCUUGUGCUCUGUGUGGAAUGUUUGUCGGCUUUGGUUGGGCUGGCUGUCUAUGAGCUUGCUGGUGGUGUGCUGGUUUACGAAGGCCAGGACGGGUAGGCGGCCUGAGAGUGCGACCGGCGACAAUGGGACUGAGAGACGGCCCAGACUCCUACGGGAGGCAGCAGUGGGGAAUAUUGCACAAUGGGCGGAAGCGUGAUGCAGCGACGCCGCGUGAGGGAUGACGGCCUUCGGGUUGUAAACCAAUUUCGGCGGGGACGAAGCGUAAGUGACGGUACCGGAAGAAGAAGCGACGGCUAACUACGUG
rnacentral:rRNA from 1 species